UUAGGGACAGGUGAUAUCUAUCCCAUGGC
rnacentral:piRNA from 1 species